AUUGAACGCUGGCGGCAUGCCUUACACAUGCAAGUCGAACGCCCCGCAAGGGGAGUGGCAGACGGGUGAGUAACGCGUGGGAACGUGCCCUUCGCUUCGGAAUAGCCCCGGGAAACUGGGAGUAAUACCGAAUACGCCGUAUUGGGAAAGAUUUAUCGGCGAAGGAUCGGCCCGCGUUAGAUUAGCUAGUUGGCGGUGUAAUGGACCACCAAGGCUACGAUCUAUAGCUGGUCUGAGAGGAUGAUCAGCCACACUGGGACUGAGACACGGCCCAGACUCCUACGGGAGGCAGCAGUGGGGAAUCUUGGACAAUGGGCGCAAGCCUGAUCCAGCCAUGCCGCGUGAGUGAAGAAGGCCUUAGGGUUGUAAAACUCUUUCGCCGGAGAAGAUAAUGACGGUAUCCGGAGAAGAAGCCCCGGCUAACUUCGUGCCAGCCGCCGCAGUAAAAC
rnacentral:rRNA from 1 species